AUCUCUCUCUUUAUUUUUUCUUCAAUCAAGAAACCUCCCGCAUUCUUUCUCUCUCGCAUCGCAACCCAUCUCCUCCACAUCUCUCUUUUUUCGCAGUUCACCUUAUCCCCUUUGCCUCUUUUUUUCAUUCUAUCGGGAAAGUUUCAGGCAGAGGCUUCAGUUGAAACUGUGAUUGUGGGUGGGUUCAGCUCUCUCUCUCUCUCUCUCUCUCUCUCUCUCUCUCUCUCUCUCUCCCAUCUACGGUUAUUUUCUCAAUCUCUCUGGUUCUCAAUCGGGAAACUUUCAAGCAGAGACUUCUAUGUUCAGCAUCUUCAAUCUCUUCAUCCUCUGAGAUAGAGUUUUUAUUUUUAAAAUUGCGAAAAAAGCCCUGCCGUGUCUUGAUCUUGAGUUGACCUUGUCGCUGGCGUGUCUUGGCUGUGUCUGAGCAGUGUCCGGGGCGUGUCCGUCACGUGUCGGCGUGUCGCAGUGUCCGACACUCCAGGUGUUUGACGUGUCCGUGCAACAUAAGAAGUGUAAACUUCGCAUAUUGUUUUUGGUGGGUAUUUGGUUGAAUUGGUUCUUCUGGUUGGUUUCCUGCCAAUUCUCUGGCUUCGUGAUUGUUUUGUUGUUCCCCUGAGUUGGUGUGUUUGCUCUCUGCCCUUCUUCUCUUCUGCUUAAUACGUUUUCAAUUACCCAAAAGAAAAAUUAAAGCUACCGUUUGCUUUUUACGCAUUUACUGAGUGUUUACAGAACCAGAUUUCCAGGAACUGUUUUUAAUGGCGUUGUUGUGGGGAACCCAAACAGCCUCUGCAUCUCCUACUUCAGCUGAAUUGGAUCCUCCUCGAUGGAAGCAUGAUGUUUUUCUGAGUUUCAGGGGUCAAGACACUCGCAGGGGUUUUGUAUCUCAUUUAGACCACGAACUGCAGUACCGGCAAGAAAUGAAAACUUUCAAGGAUGACCGAGACCUUGAAGUAGGAGCAACUAUUUCUCCGGAGCUGUUGACCGCAAUCGAACAAUCACAUCUUGCCAUCAUUGUUCUCUCCCCAAAUUACGCUUCUUCCACCUGGUCCUUGGAUGAACUUUCAAAGAUUCUUGAAUGCAUGGAAGACACCAAGAGAAUUCUGCCAAUCUUUUAUCACGUGGAUCCUUCCGAUGUGCGAAAUCAAAGGGGGAGUUUUGCGGAAGCCUUAACUAAGCAUGAAGAAAGGUUUAGUGACGAUGUAGAGAAGCUGAAUCGGUGGAGAGCUGCUUUAAGAAAAGUUGCCAAUCUCACUGGCUUAGAUUCAAAAACUUAUAAGUCGGAAGCAAAGCUUAUCGAAGACAUUGUCAAACGUGUGUUGAAGAAAGUGCAUCCUACAUUCACGUUGUUAGAUUCUGAAGAGAAGUUAGUCGGAAUUGAUUUUGCACUUGAGCAACUACGUUUGCAAUUAGAUCUCGAGGUAAAUGAUGUUCUCUUUAUAGGGAUAUGGGGGAUGGGUGGGUUAGGCAAAACAACCCUUGCUAAGCUAGUUUUCCAAAGAAUUUCCCAUCAUUUUGAACAUAGACGGUUUCUAUCUAAUGUGAGAGAGGUCUCUGCAAAACACGGUGGUCUAAUUGAUCUGCAAAGACAGAUUCUUUUCCCAAUCUUGAAAAAACAUGCUAGCCAAGCUUGGGAUGAAGGAGCCGGGACCUUUUUCACUAGGAACCGUUUAUGCAAUCAAAAGGUUCUUCUCAUCCUUGAUGACGUGGACCAAUCAAACCAACUUAUAACACUGGCUGGAAAGAAAGAUUGGUUUGGUGUGGGGAGUAGAAUUAUCAUCACAACUAGAAAUGAACGUCUACUAGUGCAGCAUGGUAUAACAAGACGAUAUAAGGUCAAGGUAUUAAACAACGGACAAGCUCUUGAGCUCUUUAGUCAGCACGCCUUUAAGAAACAUCAGCCUGAGGAAGGUUUUCUAGAGCUGUCUCAGCGUUUCCUACAUUAUGCCAAAGGCCUUCCAUUAGCCGUUAAAACUUUGGGGUCUUUCUUGUAUGCGAGAGAUCAAGAUGCAUGGAAUAGUAUGCUUCAUAAUCUAGAUAAAAUUCCUAAUCCAACAGUAUUUCAUUCACUCAAAGUAAGUUAUGAUGGGCUAGAAGAGAUGGAGAAGAAAUUUUUUCUCCAUGUUGCAUGUUUCCAUAAAGGGAAGGAUAAAGAGCAAGUAAUCGAAAUACUAGACAGUAUCUGGGACAUUUCCAAUCGUAUUGGGAUGUAUAUUCUUAUUGAGAAAUCUCUCUUAACUAUUGAGAAAAACUAUUUUCGUAGUGACACUAUUGAGAUGCAUGAUUUGAUACAAGAAAUGGCAUGGGAAAUUGUUCGUCAAGAGUGUGUCGAAGAGCCUGGUCGACGCAGUUGUUUGUGGCAUCCUAACGACAUUUCUCUUGUAUUCAUGAACAAUACGGGAACAUGCGCAAUUGAAGCCAUAGUCUUACAUUUGCCCAAAUUAGAAGUGGUGCACUGGAAUUGUACUAAAGCCUUCUCUAAGAUGCACAAAUUGAGGCUUCUUGAAUUUGAUAAUGUGAUAUUUUCUUCAGGCCCGAAAGAUCUUCCAAAUUCAUUAAGAAUAAUUCGUUGGAGCUGGUAUCCUUCAAAAUCACUCCCACCAAGGUUUCACCCACGCUUCCUUGUUAAACUAGAGAUGCCUCAUAGCAAACUUAUCCGGCUUUGGGAUGGAGCAAAGGACUUCCCAAAGUUGAAAUAUAUUGAUCUUAGUUACUCUGAUAAAUUGAGCAGUACCCCAGAUUUCACAUGCGUUCCUAUUCUUAAGGAAUUGAAGCUGAAAAGUUGUACGAAUUUAGUUGACGUCCACGCGUCUAUUGCAGUUCUCAAAAGGUUGAAACAUUUGGACCUUAGUGAUUGUAAAAGUAUCAAGAGUCUCCCAAGUAAAGUGGAAAUGGAUUCUCUUGAAUAUUUCAGUCUUUCUGGCUGCUCAAAAGUGAAAAAACUUCCGGAAUUUGAGGGACAUAUGAAAAAUUUGUUCAAACUCAUUUUGAAAGGUACUGCUGUUGAGCAAAUACCUUCAUCAAUUGAAGGUCUAGUUGGCCUAGCUGUACAGGGUAAGAACAAUUGCGAAAGUCUCUUGGGUCAAAUACUCUAUAUGCAGAUAUCCUCAAAACAUGUCAAACUGCCAGGGGAGAUGGAGUGUUUAGAGGAGCUUGAAUUAAGUGGAACUGCUAUGAGAGAGCUGCUUGCUGUUAUGACAAAUCGCAAAUAUGUAUCCCUUCGUGGAUCAGUUGCUAAAUCAUCAACUUCAACGUUGUGGGCCUUAUUUGGAUUUAGAAAGAGUCUUGACCCUAAACCUGACCCUUGGGGAUUGGUGUUGCCUUCCCUAUAUCGUUUAAGGUCUUUGACAGAAAUAAAUCUCAUUGGGUCUAAUAAUUUUGAAGAACUCUUCCCCGAUAAUAUUAGCUGCUUGUCUUCCCUAAAUCAUAUAACUUCUUACCAAUGUCGUCUAAUGUCUUUGACAGAAUUAAAUCUAAGUGAUUGUAAUAUUUUUGAAGGAGUCAUCCCCGAUGAUAUUGGCAACUUUUCUUCUUUAGAACGUUUAAUACUUAGCGGAAACAAUUUCGUUAGCCUUCCCGCAAGCAUUAGAUUCCUUUAUAAGCUUUGCUCUCUUGACUUGGGGAGGUGUGAAAGGCUUGCGCAAUUGCCAGAUCUUCCAUCAAAAAGAUCAAAGAGAUCCUUAUUACUUGUAAAUGUAAGCGAUUGUACUUCUUUAAAAAGGUUGUCAGAUCCAUCAAAGUUGAGCGAAGAAGCCAAUGUGUAUGAUUUUAUGUUCAGUUGUCUGAAUUGCUUCAGAUUGGUUGAAGAUGAAGGCUGGAUUAAUAGAAUAUUUUCAAGGAUAAUGAAACUGGCCGUUGAGGGAAUCUAUCCAGUGUUUGAUCAUUGUACCUUUAUUGUAUGCCCUGGAAGUGAAAUCCCAGAUUGGUUCAACAAUCGAAGUGUGGGAGAUUCAAUAACUGUGGAGCUGCCUCUACCUCCACAACCAUGUAGCAACUGGAUUGGAAUUGCUUCAUGUGUUGUUUUUGCAGAUUCUGAAUAUUUGGAAAAUCCAGCCUCGGUUGUUGGAUAUGAUCAUUUCAGAAUUGAAUGUUUGCGGGGUCCGUCUGAGUCUUUUGAAGUCGGGCAUCUUGGGUCACAACACCUUUGGGUUUUUUAUUUGCCUCGCGAUCAUCCCAGCCUCAUGGAUGCCUCAAGCAGUCAUCAGUUUUCAUUCGAAGCAUUUUAUGAUUCAAACAGAGCAUCUUUGAACAGACUCAAAACAAGCUCCAUUAUAAAGAAAUGUGGGGCCCGUUUGGUGUACAAGAGAGAUUUGGAAGAAUUCAGCCAAAGACUGAAAAUUGGAAGUUUGGAGGAAUUCAGCCAAAGACUGAAAAUUGGAAGUGGUAGCUCUGAUGACGACGAUUUCAAUGAGCUCCUGUACGAGCAAGAUUUGGAAGAAGAACUCAACCAAACACUAAAAAUGCUGAUGCGAAAAGUACAAGAACGUUGUUGUUGUGACGAUGCAAGUACAAGUGGAAGUGGUAGCUUUGACGACAGUAUUGAACCAUGCCCCAAAAGACUCAAGCAAGACUAAAUUGUACUUUCUUUUGCUUGAUUGAAACAUUUAUGUACUUCAAAGCCUAAUGACGUUGCUCUGCUCAGAAUUUAUGUUGUUCUCUGGAAAACGGUAGGCAUUAUCGGCUUGGGAAGAACUGGCAAAGAUAAAACUUGGCCUCAGACUCUGGCAUUUUGAUUGUUGUAUGAAUCUCUGAUCACUUCUGAAGAGACCAACGACAUUGUCACGAUUUGAAGCCCUUGAUGCUUUGGGUCAGGGUGUUCUCAUUAGCACUGGAAGAGGCUCUCAUGGUGAUGAACCUCAGUGUCUGCACUGCCGGAUAAUUAUAAGAAUGAGCCAACCACAGGUUCCUGAUCAACAAUGUGGUUUGAUAAAUAUUAUAAUAAUGUGGCAGAAUUGAUUUGUUUCAGUCAGUUUUUAAGUAAUGGGAGCUCGUUAUAGUCCGGAAAUAGCAAUAUCUUCUCCACAAAACAAUACAAAUUCCGUAAAUCAUUGUGCAUUAUGUUAUUACUGAAUUUGAGAACAUGUCAAUCCUAUUCAGGUGU